rnacentral:tRNA from 1 species
UAGCUCAGCGGUGAGAGCGGCUGACUCAUAAUCAGUAGGUCCCUGGUUCAAAUCCG